GUCUACGGCCAUGACACCCUGAAUAAGCCCGAUCCUGCCUGAUCUCGGAAGCUAAGCAGCAGCGGGCCUGGUUAGUACUUGGAUGGGAGACCACCUAGGAAGACCAGGUGCUGUAGGCG
rnacentral:rRNA from 1 species